rnacentral:rRNA from 1 species
AGUAUAAGCAAAAAUACAGCAAAACUGCAAAUGGCUCAUUAAAACAGUUAUUGUUUACUUGAUAAUAAUUUUUACAUGGAUAACCGUGGUAAUUCUACAGCUAAUACAUGAGCAAAAUCUCAACUUUAUUAGAAGAGACGCAUUUAUUAGAUAAAAAGCCAGUUCAUGCUUUUACAGUAUGAAAAUUGGUGAUUUAUAAUAACUUAGCAAAUCGCAAAGUGAAAACAGGCGAUAAAUCAUUCAAGUUUCUGACCUAUCAGCUUUCGACGGUAUGGUAUUGGCUUACCGUGGCAGUGACGGUUAACGGGGGAUUAGGGUUCGAUUCCGGAGAGGGAGCCUGAGAAACGGCUACCACAUCUAAGGAAGGCAGCAGGCGCGCAAAUUACCCAAUUCUAACAGUUUGAGAGAGGUAGUAACAAGAAAUAACAAUACAAGGCAGUUAAAAUGCUUUGUAAUUGGAAUGAUAGAAAUUUAAACCCUUUUUAAAGUAUCAAUUGGAGGGCAAGUCUGGUGCCAGCAGCCGCGGUAAUUCCAGCUCCAAUAGCGUAUAUUAAAAUUGUUGCAGUUAAAAAGCUCGUAGUUGAAGUUCUGCUGAAAGUAACCGGUCUGCUUUUAAUAAAAGUGGUAUCUUGGUAUGUAUUUAGCAAUGAUGUCCUUUGAA